ACACCCAUUUACAAGUACAUCCACUCUUCCAGCCUCACCGCUUCCGGGAAAAUCUGGCGUGGUGUUGGCGGGGCCUUCCUUUUCCACUCACGAGGUGCUGGGGUGUUGCAUGUUUGUUGCUAUUUCUCUUUAUAUUAUGCUAUUCUAAAUUGAUUAUGGUGAAUCAUCUUCUUGCUAUUCCGGUUUUAACAUGUGCACAGAAGCUUCUUACUGUGAGAAAAACAUGUUAAAACCAUUUACACCUUUGAUAUUGUAGUGUUGCCUGCCAUGAUAAUUGCAGUGCUUAAUCUUUUUUGCUUGCCGGUGCUCAUUAGGAGGAGGGGUCUAUGCAAGAAGUUACAGUGGUAAUGCUUCCUUCUUCCUUCUAUUUUCUUCAGUUCAGCAACACCUAUUAUGUUUGCUUCAUAAUAUGCCAUGCUGGUGUUGGUAUACAUAUUUAACUAGACUUCAGAUGAUACAUAUCUCUUGACAUCGAAUUGCAGUUUCCUAAAUGCCUCCCUUCCCCACUACUUUCUAAAUGCAUAGCAUGCUAAUGUAAAAUCAAUUGAAUGCGAAGUUCAAUUACGUAACAUAUUUUCCAUUCUUGGGCAUCCUUCUGGAAGGAGCUACUUACCUGAAAAGGCAGACCGUAAUAAACAUGGAAAAUAAAACAAUAACAAACCAUUAGAGGCCCGUUGCAUGCUUGUGUCAUGUCCACUCUGAUUUUAUAUCAAUUAUCUGUCCUUUUUGGGUGCUCAUUCCUUAAAUUUAACCUUUUAUAAGUCUCUGCACCUUCAGCUAUAUAACAACCAUUGGUAUUUGCUUCCAACCAUACAUAGCUAGCUUACACCAUGUAAGUAUUUUGUUUAUGCACUGCAACCUAUUGAGUGCUGCAAACAAAUUUCAAAAGCAUAGGCCAUCGAGAAAAUGAAAUGCCAACUAGAUCUUGGCAAUACAAUCGCUGCCUAGAAGUGUACUGCCUGGUGUGUUGCUACUGAAGCUAUACCAGCCAUGGUGCGUUUCCUAUCUAGGGGCAAGACCACAUAAUAGUAGUAUUAAACGAGGAGUAUUUUGCUUAGAUACUGAUGCGUUCCAAGAUGAUGUUUAGAUUGCUAAAUUCAGGUGUCUGAAAACGAUAGCUGAUAUCAUUCAGUGUUCAAGCUACCGGCAGAGCUGGUGUAUUUCCAGAGAAGACAAUCUAGAUAAUAGUGUUACCAAUAGUGUAGAUCAAAACUACUAGAUAAUUGAUGCCCUCUGUAAUGCAGAUCCAUCCACUAUGUAAUUAAGUAGGAAUGUGCAACGAUACUGCUUAGUCCAGCAGGAAUGUGUACGCACCGAUGUUGCCUGGCUAGAAAUGGUCACCGGCUCGGUCCGCUCCAUUCAUUGUAUCUGGUCUCGCUUAACAUUAUUAACCAAGCAAUCCAAGGUAAGUAUCUGCUAGCACUGUCAA